rnacentral:rRNA from 1 species
UUCCGAUGGGUGAACCUGCGGAAGGAUCAUUACUGAGUGAGGGCCCUCUGGGUCCAACCUCCCACCCGUGUUUAUUGUACCUUGUUGCUUCGGUGCGCCCGCCUCACGGCCGCCGGGGGGCUUCUGCCCCCGGGUCCGCGCGCACCGGAGACACCAUUGAACUCUGUCUGAAGAUUGCAGUCUGAGCAUAAACUAAAUAAGUUAAAACUUUCAACAACGGAUCUCUUGGUUCCGGCAUCGAUGAAGAACGCAGCGAAAUGCGAUAACUAAUGUGAAUUGCAGAAUUCAGUGAAUCAUCGAGUCUUUGAACGCACAUUGCGCCCCCUGGUAUUCCGGGGGGCAUGCCUGUCCGAGCGUCAUUGCUGCCCUCAAGCACGGCUUGUGUGUUGGGCUCCGUCCCCCCGGGGACGGGCCCGAAAGGCAGCGGCGGCACCGAGUCCGGUCCUCGAGCGUAUGGGGCUUUGUCACCCGCUCUGUAGGCCCGGCCGGCGCCAGCCGACAACCCAUCAUCCUAUCAGGUUGACCU